UACUACCUCCAUGAUCCCACACGCCUAAUCAUACGAGCUAAAAUGUUACACAUUCAAUCAUUGAGAGAUACAAAGAAAAAGACAUAUACAUAGAUAGAUUAUCUUUCUAUAAGGUUGAGCGAUCUGAUCUGACAAAUGUUAUAAGUGCUACACUCAUAAACUUUUCAUCCAUCAACUUUGUCUUGCUCACUAUGCUUAGGGUUAGAGAAGAACAAAUACACUUUAGGUUCUGUUGGUGUUUUCCACCAACAGGACCCAUGCACUUGAUCUCUGCCUUGUCUCUAUGAGCAGGUACACUUUGAGCAAAACACGGAGGAGUUUUAUAACUCUCAGACUCUACCAAGUGAAGGACCUAGAUCUACGAGCACAAACACACUGAGCAGGUUACUGCCAACGCCGUACUUCGAACUGCUGGGCAAACGAAGAACAUGGGUGACACCGUAUCAAGAGGUGCAGACGUCAAGGUCCGCACCUGAAUCAAAUGACGCACCUGAAGAAUGAACACGGUGAGAAGUCUUGUUAAGAAGACUUAAAAUAUUGAACCCUCGCCGAAAGGUAAGAUCGGUAGUUAUCCAUAUUUAUCCUCUCUGCAUUCCCUUUUCCCUUUAAUUAUUUACUUUCCUUAAAUAGUUUAUUAGUUAAUCAUGCUAUCUUGAAAAGAAAAUAAAAAUGUUAAAAAAUACUAAGCCCCAUGUGAGUAUACGAGUGGCAUAAAACCCAUAAGUACCUUCACUGUGGUGGCAUAAAAAUAAAAUAAAUAUUUCUUUUCUGCUUUAUAAAAUAAAAAUAUAAAAACAGGGAGUAAUAUUUAUUGAGGAAGCUCAACAUGAUGAAGGCUAGAUAUUUAUACUAACACUUAAUUAGUUCCACAAGCUUUGUUGUCUAUUUGAGCUCCACAGAAUUUAAGAAUCAAGAAGACUAGCAGACGGAGGACAUUCUAAUCGCUGUCAGAAUGCUGCUGACUUUCAAAUACACCUCUGCCACCUGCUAACUACAUCAAGAGAAAUUACGUCAAAAUUCAGCUUGGGGGAGAGCACCCUCAUUUAUCUCGCUAAGUAUUUCUACCUAUCUUUAUACUUAUAUUAUAUUAGAAUAUUAAAAUACAUAAACUAUGAAAAACCAAAUAAAGAUUUUGUGCUUAUAUAUAUCUUUUGCUUAGUGUGUUUAAUAAAUAAAUAAAGUGGCUAUGCUAAUCUGAAUCUUAAUAAUAAAACUCUAGCAUGGAUAUGAUGAAUAGUUGCUCUGUCUAAUUUGCAAAUUUGAAGUUCUCUCUCAAGUUUAGACAUAACUGUUAUAAUUUAAAGCUUGCUCUAGAUCUAAACUUGUGCGAUAAAAACUUGAUCUGAAAUCUAAGUUGUUAACGGAUAUGAUAUGGGAAGGUUGAGCUGUUGUUUAUCUGUUCUUAGAGAUGCUAGAAUUCUGGAGAAUUUUAUCUUUGAAAAAUCUUUAAAAUAUUGCAUGAUGAGUUCCUGUAUGAUGAAAGUUUAAAUUCCUACCACAGUCAUAUAUACAUGCUUGCUAGACUUUGAGCCACACAUUUACUAUUUACUACUUAUGAGCAUUGUCGACUUAAGUUAUCUUUUUCCUUUCAAUUAUUUAAAAUAGUUUGCUUAGUUAAUCAAGUUCAUGCUAUCUUGAAAAGAAAAUAAAAAUGUUAAAAAUAGUAAGCCCCAUGUAAGUAUGCUCAUGACAUAAAACCCAUAAGUACAUUCACUGAGGUGGCGGAAAAAUAAAAUAAAUAUAUUCCUGUCCCAUAAAUAUGAAAAUAUAAAAAUAAGAUUGUGAUCCUACUAAAGAGUGUAACAUUAAUUGAGGAGGCUCAACAUGAUAAAGGCUAGAUAUUUAUGCUAACACUCAACUAGUUCCACAAAGCUUUGUUGUCUAUUUGAGCUCCACAGAAUUCAAGGAUCAGAGAAGACUAGCAGACGGAGGACAUCCUAAUCGCUGUCAGGGUGCUGCCGACAUUCACCACCUGCUAGUUACAUCAGAAGAAAUGGCAUCAAAAUCCAGCUUGGGGGAGAGCACCCCCAUUUAUCGAGCUAAGUGUUCUACUCACGUUUAUAUUUCACUCAAAUAAUAAAAAGAUGCAUAAUCAUAAAAACCCAAAUAAAGAUUUUGUGCUUAUAUAUAUCUUUGCUUAGUUUGCUAAAUAAAUAAAUAAAUAAAGUUUGCUAUGAACCCUCAUGAUAAGCUCUCACAUGGAAAUGAUGAAUAGUUGCUCUGCCAUGACUAGUUCUCAAAAUUGAAAUCUCUCUCAAGUUUAGGAAUGACUGGUAUUAAUUAAGUUUUUUCUAAACCUAAACUUGUGGAAAGAGUACUUGAUCUAAAGUCUAAGACGUUAACGGAUAUGAUAUGGGAAGGUUGAGCUGCUGUUUAUCUGUUCCUAGAGAUGCUAGAAUUCUGGAGAAUUUUAUCUUUCAAAAUCUUUAAAAUGUUGCAUGAUGAGUUCCUGUAUGACGAGAGUUUAAAAUCCUACCACAGCCAUAUAUACAUGCUUGCUAGACUUUGAACCAUACAUUUACUUUGUACUGCUUAUGAGCAUUGAGUGUGGUCAAGCUGUGUAGACCCUUAGGAUCUUGUCAUGUGGUUAAAAUCAAGAUUCACUUGCACAUUCACUCAUACAUGCUGCUUCUACUCUGGAAGUACGCAUCCACAUAUAUCCACCCAUUUCCAUCUCCAGAACUACCCAAAAAUAUUCUACUCCUAAUCCGGGAGAGAAUAGCCAAAAAUAUUUCUGUUUUUCCCCUGUGAAAAAAAUGCUCAAGAUAUUUUGGUUACUACCACUUGCUACAUUAUUCUAGGAGGAUGAGUGCUCUGAAAAAAAGUGAAUAUGAGGAAAUAAAAAGGGGCAAGUGCCCGGAACCUCGAAAGAAAACAAAAAGUGAGACGAGAGGUAAAAAUGGACAAGUGUCCGACAGUAGAAUUAGGGGUACAAGAUACACACCUGAGAGAAAAGAAAAAAAGAAAAGAAAAUAUAGAGCAUCUCAUUCCCCUCAAAAAGUUUCAAAAGAGCAAGAAAGGUAUGUAUCCCCUCAAAAGAGCACAAGUAGAAUUAGACUUUCACCAUUGUUAUCACCAUCAUUACCAUGCACCAUUCAUUCGCCACACAUGCACAUCUUGAUUUGACUUAUUGACUUGUUCUUCUGGAUCCAUGGUUUGACUAUGCAAUAAAUAUCUUGUAAGUAUGUAUUAGCUGUCUCCCACCUAUGAGCUCCAGAUAUCAAAAUCUUAUUAAAGUAGGGUGAGAGAGAAGGCAAUGCCACUAUGCCUCAUACCAAUAAUACCACAUACUUUGAGAGAAGGCAUACACCAUUACUGCCUUGGUAAGGAUUCAGAAAUACCACAAAAGAGAGACUAGAGAGAGUCAUACAAGGAAUCUCUGAGUUUUAUUUGAAAAUCUACAAAAAAAACUCCAGAGGUAUAGUUAAUCGAAGAACAAGAGACAUGGCGCUUGACUAGACCGUUCUAUCUUUUAACUGCUCAAGACACAGGUGAUGGUUACAAGCCCCAUGGUGGAAGGUAAAAUGAGUAAGUUUGAAGUCUUAACAGUUUACCCUAACUCAGAGAUGAGAUCUUGUGUAAACGCAUGUGUACCUUUAAGGCAUGAAACCACUGCAGAAACUCUUGAGUCCAUCUUUGCUCAGGGACGAGCAAAGGUUAAGCUUGGGGGAGUUUGUUGACGGUCCUUAAUGCUCACAUUUAACCAUCAACUAAUCAUGAAAAGGAUCCAAAUGCAACUAACACCUAGACUUAGGGUUUUAUCUGAUAGAAUUCCACGAGUUUUGGUGUUUGUCUAUUUCUGCAGGGGGUUAUCAGGAAAUAUGGAGGAAAGGCCCACACGUCGGGUUUACAUAGAGAUAUUAACGUGCCGCGCAAUUUUCUAUCAUCUAGAAGACUCUAGAAGCCACGGAACCGGAGCGGAGGCCGAGAGGACUCAGGGAUAGGGCGCCCGCCCUACUCUCCUGGGCGCCCGCCCUCACAUAGAGUCCAAUCAGGACUCUCUUUCGGGAUAUUGUUCCACCGACCUAAAGGAUCAAGGAUAACCGUUCAAUCAAUGUCGGUUUGAUCCAACGGCCC
rnacentral:lncRNA from 1 species